rnacentral:rRNA from 1 species
GUGCCGAGCAGCCGCGGUAAUACCGGCAGCCCGAGUGAUGGCCACUCUUAUUGGGCCUAAAGCGUCCGUAGCCGGCCUCGCAAGUCCGUCGGGAAAUCCACUCGCCCAACGAGUGGGCGUCCGACGGAAACUGCACAGCUUGGGACCGGAAGGCUCGAAGGGUACGUUCGGGGUAGGAGUGAAAUCCCAUAAUCCCGCACGGACCACCGAUGGCGAAAGCACUUCGAGAAAACGGAUCCGACAGUGAGGGACGAAAGCCAGGGUCUCCAACCGGAUUAGAUACCCCUGUAGUCC